rnacentral:other from 1 species
AGAUCCCUGCCGUGUUCGUGAUCGGUAGAAGUUUUUUGAGCCAACACGUACUCAAACGGGAACCUUUCCUUGCUUUGGUGUGCAUGUUCUGUGGUUUACAGAAAAGCCUAAAGAAGCAACAAGGUGCCCACCUGUACAAAUAGGUUCAAGAAAAUCUGCUGACACGGCAUUAUGGCGGGGGACAC